GAUUAAUACCCUAUGCUGUUCGAAUGAGGACAUCUGAGCUGAACGAAAGGUUUACCGCUGAGGGAUGGGGAUGCGUCCGAGUUAGGUAGUCGGCGGGGUAACGGCCCACCGAGCCCUCGAUCGGUAGGGGUUCUGAGAGGAAGGUCCCCCACACUGGUACUGAGACACGGACCAGACUCCUACGGGAGGCAGCAGUGAGGAAUAUUGGUCAAUGGGCGAGAGCCUGAACCAGCCAAGUAGCGUGCAGGAUGACGGCCCUACGGGUUGUAAACUGCUUUUAUGCGGGGAUAAAGUGAGGGACUUGUCCCUUUUUUGCAGGUACCGCAUGAAUAAGGACCGGCUAAUUCCGUGCC
rnacentral:rRNA from 1 species